AAGGUUCAAUCAAUUUAUGGCUCCUCUUUUCUUUUCUUUUUUUUUUCCUCUUCAGCUCAUUGAAUGCUGAAGAUUAUAUUUAUUUGGUGUUACCUGCAGCUGAUGUAAAUACUUGUAUAAUUUUUUAGUGAUUUUUGCAGGGGGAUGAAUCACUUGCCUGAGAAUAGACCUGGAGCAAUAAUUCACCGUGAUCUUGAACCUUUGUGAUUAAUCUGGAUAAGAUAACAGAAAGAUACUUGUAUAAUUUUUUAUGUUGUUUAUGAGUAAGAUAACAGAAAUAUAUUGCGGGAUGAUUCAGGGCAUCUGAAAGUUGUGGACUUUGGAGUUAGCAAGCUGUUAAAAGUAACCAGCAGAGUCAAAGAAGAUAGGCCUUUAACCUGUCAUGACACUUCUUGCCGAUAUGUGGCUCUAGAGGUUUUCAUAAAUGAAGAGUAUGACACCAAAGUGGAUGUAUUUUCGUUUGCUCUGAUUUUACCGGAGAUUGCUUUUGCGUGGGCUAUUGUAGAUGUUUAUUUUUGUGUACAAAGAGCAUCUGUUUUGUAUAUGGAAGACAUUUAUUUUUGUAUAAUCCUCCGCUUUGGAAAUCUUGUGUUUUUGUGUGCAAUAUUUAAUUUAGAUAGAUUAUACUUGGUUAGUAUGGAUUUAUAUGAUAUUUGGAAUGAGGUGUUAUAAGUUAAAAUUUUUGGAUAGUUGAUAAUGAAAUGGGUAUUUUUGAUAA